rnacentral:lncRNA from 1 species
GAAAAGGCAGAAGAUAUUUUGGUUGAGUGGGAGUCUGUUUUCAACUCAUCAUCGUGGGCCAACUACCCAUUCAUUUUUCUCCACUCAUUUUUUCUCCUAAAUUUUUCUAGAAAUCAUCGCUUCUUUUAUUCAAAUUCCGUGAUCCCAUCUUGUAAAGCUGGAUAUUCGCCUUCUUCCAGAACCUACUGUCACUACCUUCACCUGAUGUGCCAGUUUCCCAUCCAAAAA